rnacentral:rRNA from 1 species
GACAGAGGGUGCAAACGUUGUUCGGAAUUACUGGGCGUAAAGCGCGUGUAGGCGGCAGGGCAUGUCGGAUGUGAAAUCCCGUGGCUCAACCACGGAAGUGCACCCGAAACUGCCCAGCUUGAGUCUCGGAGAGGAAGGCGGAAUGCUUGGUGUAGAGGUGAAAUUCGUAGAUAUCGAGAGGAACACCGGUGGCGAAGGCGGCAUUCUGGACCAUAACUGACACUGAGAGACGAAAGCCAGGGGAGCAAACGGG